rnacentral:rRNA from 1 species
GACGAACGCUGGCGGCGUGCUUAACACAUGCAAGUCGAGCGGUAAGGCCCUUUCGGGGGUACACGAGCGGCGAACGGGUGAGUAACACGCGGGUGACCUGCCCUCAGCUCUGGGAUAAGCCUGGGAAACCGGGUCUAAUACCGGAUAUGACUCCAUGACGCAUGUUGUGGGGUGGAAAGCCUUGUGCGGCUGAGGAUGGGCCCGCGGCCUAUCAGCUUGUUGGUGGGGUGANGGCCUACCAAGGCGACGACGGGUAGCCGGCCUGAGAGGGCGACCGGCCACACUGGGACUGAGACACGGCCCAGACUCCUACGGGAGGCAGCAGUGGGGAAUCUUGCGCAAUGGGCGAAAGCCUGACGCAGCGACGCCGCGUGAGGGAUGACGGCCUCGG